rnacentral:lncRNA from 1 species
CUACCUGUCAGAUAACUGCGAGUACUCUCAGAUCUGUUCAUUGCGUCUUUUUGUGUCGGGAUGUAUAAGUAACCGGCCACGUCUACUUGUAUUUUUGUCCAUCUGAUGAGUUAAGCCUUUUUCAACUGAUUUUUAUAGUUCGUUCUUAUGUUGUACUGUUAUACCACUGUCCCAGGUUAGGGGGAGGGUUGGGAUCCCGAUAACAUGUUUAACCGCGCCACAUUAUUUAUGUAUGCCUGUCCCAAGUCAGGAGCCUGUGGUUCAGUGGUUGUCGUUUGUUUAUGUGUUACAUAUUUGUUUUUCGUUCAUUUUUUUUACAUAAAUAAGGCCGUUAGUUUUCUCGUUUGAAUUGUUUUACAUUGUCUUAUCGGGGCCUGUUAUAGCUGACUAUGCGGUAUGGGCUUUGCUCAUUGUUGAAGGCCGUACGGUGACCUAUAGUUGUUAAUGUCUGUAUCAUUUUGGUCUUUUGUGGAUAGUUGUCUCAUUGGCAAUCAUACCACAUCUUCUUUUUUAUAAGCACU